UAGCGAUAAAGCUUUAAAUGAGGGAAAUGGGGACUUGAGUUACGAGGUCCCUUCAAACUACGGUUCAGCCAAAAUUAGUAAAUAGUCUGAAAAAAAUCUGAAAGGUUUCCUGGCAGAUUAUUCCAUAACAUUUCUAAAAAACCAAAAAACCUCUCAGAAAAAUUUCCAAUAAGGAAUUAAGAUUAUUAAUAUUGGCUGAACAGUAAUAUCCACUUGUGUAUGUGUACAUAGUCGGGUACGAAAUUCUUUGAUAAACGUUUUUUACUGCAGAAAAAUAACGGUACACACGCUUGAGAAAUCUGAUGGACGGCCGGUCGUUUGGAGCACGCGCGGUUUCUACCGGAAAAUGGUCACAAGCGUUGAGAAACAAAAUUUGAGAACUUCUGCACCCGUGGAAGUUUUAGAGCAGGCCAUGGUCUCAAUUUUAAGCCGCAAGUCAUAAUCCAGAUGAUUAAGGUCUGCUAUUACCAAUGGAAUUUUUUUGACCAAAUAAAAUCGAUGAAAUGAGAUCAUAGUCGAUUUUGGACAAUUUUUGCACAAUAUGGCUGAGCCGUUACCUUUUAAGAAAUUCAGUUUCUAUUUUUCAAUAGGCCGGACUUCAAAGGUUUUACACUAAGUUUUGCAACUUUGGUAAUGUAAUUCUUGGCUUGCGCUGUAACCCUUUCUAGAGAAAAACAGGGUUUCGCUUUCUCCAGCAGAGUAAUUCAAAUCCAAACCAUCAAAGACUUAGGGGGAUGAGAUCUUCGACGUUUUCUAUUUGCCAGGGGUAUGUAUGAUUUUUGCUUAGUGCAAAUUCUUUAAUUUUCUUUGUUAAAUUUACGCAAAGCUUGGGAUAAGUUUCCACAGGAAAGUGUGCGUAAUCCGAGCGAUCAGUUUACCAUCAGAUUUUGUAAGUGUGUGUGCUCCAGAAGAGGAAAUUUGGAUAUUUAGUAUUUUUAUAUUAUACACAGGUAUAUUGUGCAUCCAGAUGGAAAAUCUUAAUUAAAAAUUCUUACCCGUUAUUUUUCUGCAGUAAAAAACGUUCAUCAAAGAAUUUCGUACCCGACUAGGUACAUAUAUCCCAACACACAUAAUUUAUGUAACGGGAUAUGUAUAAUAUUUAUUUUAUCGAGUAAUAAUAGCUAAUGUACAGUAAUUUAAAUGUAAUAAAUUGAUACAUAUGUAAUUCUAUGAAUAUAAUUAAAUAUUGAAAACUCUGAAUAUACA